rnacentral:lncRNA from 1 species
UCGGCCAAAACACAUCCUUACCCUGUGCAGAGUCAUGUUAAUACAUUUAAAACUGUGUUGAAAAGCUAAGUUUGGGGUAAAAACCCCAAAAGAUCCCAAAGCCCAAGAAAGUGAAAAACAAAAAAAGAAAAAAAAGUGAAAUAUGAAAUCAUCGAGAGAAAAGAAAAAAGAAAAAAGAAAAAAAAAGUAUAACUCGAAGAUUCAAAAGAAGCACGAAAAAGGGCACUCGGUGGAAAAAUAGAAAAAAAGAGAA